rnacentral:rRNA from 1 species
CCUAGGGGAGGCAGCAGUGAGGAAUAUUGGUCAAUGGUCGGGAGACUGAACCAGCCAAGCCGCGUGAGGGAUGAAGGUACAGAGUAUCGUAAACCUCUUUUGUCAGGGAGCAACGCCGGCUACGUGUAGCCGGACUGAGAGUACCUGAAGAAAAAGCAUCGGCUAACUCCGUGCCAGCAGCCGCGGUAAUACGGAGGAUGCGAGCGUUAUCCGGAUUUAUUGGGUUUAAAGGGUGCGUAGGCGGAAUGCCAAGUCAGCGGUAAAAUCGCGGGGCUCAACCUCGCUCCGCCGUUGAAACUGGCGUUCUUGAGUGGGCGAGAAGUAUGCGGAAUGCGUGGUGUAGCGGUGAAAUGCAUAGAUAUCACGCAGAACUCCGAUUGCGAAGGCAGCAUACCGGCGCCCAACUGACGCUGAAGCACGAAAGCGUGGGUAUCGAACAGGAUUAGAUACCCCGGUAGUC